rnacentral:rRNA from 1 species
UACGGAGGGUGCAAGCGUUAAUCGGAAUUACUGGGCGUAAAGCGUGCGCAGGCGGUUUGUUAAGUCCGUUGUGAAAGCCCCGAGCUCAACUUGGGAAUUGCAGUGGAUACUGGCAGGCUGGAGUACGGUAGAGGAAGGUGGAAUUCCCGGUGUAGCAGUGAAAUGCGUAGAUAUCGGGAGGAACACCAGUGGCGAAGGCGGCCUUCUGGACCAGUACUGACGCUCAUGCACGAAAGCGUGGGGAGCAAACAAG